AUACUAUAACGUAACCGUGCGUUAUUCAACAGUGCGAAAACAUUCGCUAGCCGGACUUAUCAGGCCGGCUUGGGGUUUUAAUUGAACGUUAUUAAGUUAUUAGAAAUGUGCUGUCGCAGCGACCGAUAAUUUUUUAUUUGGAUACAAAUUGAUUGGUUUUUAUUAUUUGGUGACUGUUGCCGGGAGGAGUAAGAGUAACCUUUGGACGAGCUGGAUUAGAUAUUAGAUAGUCGAGGACUGUGUCGAAGUAUAUGGCAAUAUAUUUUGAAAUUCCAUACCUACAAACCUUUGUUAUUAAUGAAACAUUAUUUAUCUAUUUUAGCAGUAUUAAAGGCUUAUAAUAGUUCAGAACUAUCAGAAACAUUUCAUCUAUUGAGUCUUGUCUUUAUAUUAUUACUGGAAAUAUUGCAGCAACAACUCAAAUGAUUGAAUAUUCUUCAAAAAACAAUGUUAAUGGUGUUUUUAAAAAUAUACAUUAGUGAAUGGCCCCUUGGUUGGCACUAAAAAGGAAUGAAGAUAGAGAAAAAUGUACACUAACAAGGAAACGUUUCCGAUGAAGUAUAUUUCCAAAAAUUUUAAAAUGAUUUAAGAAAACUAAGAACCAGAGUUCAUUUGAAGGAUAAAAAUUUGUGAUGUUUGAAAGAAAACGGAUCAUAGGGAUUAAUUGUUGAUACGGCUGCCAUAAAAGGCUUUUCCGAGCAAAUGCAUUAAUAACUAAUUGUAAGAGAGGAAUUUGGACAUUAGUAACAGAUCUAGAUAAUGUUAUAACAAUAAUAUGUCUUUUUAGGGUUCAAAAAUAUAAUAAAUUAUAACGGUUAAGCCUU